rnacentral:rRNA from 1 species
AGAUGGGGGGAUCUUAGGACCUCUCGCUACAGGGGCGGCCGAUGGCAGAUUAGCUAGUUGGUGGGGUAAAGGCCUACCAAGGCGACGAUCUGUAGCUGGUCUGAGAGGACGACCAGCCACACUGGGACUGAGACACGGCCCAGACUCCUACGGGAGGCAGCAGUGGGGAAUUUUGGACAAUGGGGGCAACCCUGAUCCAGCAAUGCCGCGUGUGUGAAGAAGGCCUUCGGGUUGUAAAGCACUUUUGUCCGGAAAGAAAACGCUCUGGUUAAUACCCGGGGCGGAUGACGGUACCGGAAGAAUAAGCACCGGCUAACUACGUGCCAGCAGCCGCGGUAAUACGUAGGGUGCAAGCGUUAAUCGGAAUUACUGGGCGUAAAGCGUGCGCAGGCGGUCCGCUAAGACAGAUGUGAAAUCCCCGGGCUUAACCUGGGAACUGCAUUUGUGACUGGCGGG